ACACUGUUCAUGGGUUACCGCGGCUGCUGGCACGGAGUUAGCCGGUGCUUCUUCUGUGAGUGAUGUCCUUCCUGCCGGCUAUUAACCCGCAGGCCUUCUUCCUCACUGAAAGUGCUUUACAACCCGAAGGCCUUCUUCACACACGCGGCAUGGCUGGAUCAGGGUUGCCCCCAUUGUCCAAUAUUCCCCACUGCUGCCUCCCGUAGGAGUCUGGGCCGUGUCUCAGUCCCAGUGUGGCUGAUCAUCCUCUCAGACCAGCUACGGAUCGUCGCCUUGGUGAGCCGUUACCUCACCAACCAGCUAAUCCGACAUAGGCUCAUCCGAUAGCGCGAGGCCCGAAGGUCCCCCGCUUUCCCCCGUAGGGCGUAUGCGGUAUUAGCCUGGGUUUCCCCAGGUUAUCCCCACUACCGGGCAGAUUCCUAUGCAUUACUCACCCGUCCGCCGCUCGCCACCAGGGAGCAAGCUCCCCGUGCUGCCGCUCGACUUGCAUGUGUUAGGCCUGCCGCCAGCGUUCAAU
rnacentral:rRNA from 1 species